UGCGCUUUUAACUGCUUGUGGUUGAGUGGCAGCAUGAGCGAGCUCUGCGUAUUCCAACCCGGCGUUAAGAAUCCUUCACUAGCUUUUCUUCCCGACGCUGCUUAUUUAUCUAUCGGUAGCAUGACGGGUAAUUGACGCCCUCGGAUGGCUUUGAGGUCGCCAUUUUUGGUUGGUGCCUUUGUCUUGGUGUCAGGACUGGGAUAUCAUCUGGGACACAUUACCCCACAGGUAUCCUGUUGGACCUCAACGAGGAAGUUGGCAACAGAGGAACCAGGAGAUGAGAGAGAUCGUCAGAUACCUACAGCCGCUGAGAGCCGGUAUUCCAACGCCAUGAGACGCCUUCUGUCGUGAGCAGUUGACAAGAAAGACCCAGCACUUACUGCAACCGGAAGGAGCGGUUCCUCCCUCGCUCGCGCAGCCGCUCUUCCCCGCCACUCCCUCGGUGCCCGCCAGCACAUUCCCAGCAAGCCCUGAGUAUAUUUGCAUAUCAACUCACUACAUUUUUUUCUUCUAACUAAAAAAUCGAAAGGACAAAUUCCAGAUUCUCCUUGUGAAGUCUUCCUUUCAGUUCAGAAGAAAUGGAAUUCGCUCUUCAACUUCAGGAAGUUGAAAUAAAGAGUUGCUUGGAUUUUGUGUUCACCUUUACCAAAAAAUGGAUUUGGUAACACUGCCACCCUGC
rnacentral:lncRNA from 1 species